UACAGAGGUCUCAAGCGUUGUUCGGGUUCAUUGGGCGUAAAGGGUGCGUAGGUGGCGCGCUAAGUCGGGUGUGAAAUUUCGGAGCUUAACUCCGAAACUGCAUUCGAUACUGGCGUGCUUGAGGACUGGAGAGGAGACUGGAAUUCAUGGUGUAGCAGUGAAAUGCGUAGAGAUCAUGAGGAAGACCAGUGGCGAAGGCGGGUCUCUGGACAGUUCCUGACACUGAGGCACGAAGGCCAGGGGAGCAAACGGG
rnacentral:rRNA from 1 species